CGCUCACUCUCCAUGCGCGCGGGGACAGAGAAAACAUCCGCCGGAGGCCCGGCCGGGCGGCGCUCCAGCAGUGCCCGGCAGGUGCGCAAGGCGAGGAAGUGAGCGCAUUCCGGCCACCGCCGGGACCUAGCAGGUGUUUGGGGACAAUGACAGACUCAUCUACUCACAUGGAGGUCCUGCCGUCAUACAUAGAGCCCUAGUCUUGUCCGACUAUGGAUGUUCCUUUGGGCUUGUCUGUCUUGUGUGCAGGAGAGAAUCACAGUCAAGCAGGGAGAAGACUGGAAGGUGUUUUUGUUUUGUUUUGUUUUGUUUUGUUUUUUGUUUUUUGUGCUGCUUUUUGUUUUGCUGGAAUCCUGUAGAUCUGGAGGCAUGGUCUGGUGUGGAGCCAACCUGAAGAUUCAGAGUUAGCUGUGAAACCAGGACAAAAUCCCUUUUUACUAGACGUGUCAGGAGCUGGAAUUGGAGUUACCAUCCCUCUGCGUUGAAGAAGUCCUAAGGCUGCCAUUUCUACUGGACUUGGGGCAAGAGAUGUUGUUGUGGGGCUUCCCUUUGACAUGGAUUCCAGCUACAUGCUCCUCAAAGGUAAGGGCUGUAUUCACCUUUUCUUGUAUUCACCCCUACAGCUUGUGCCGGAGUUCAAUAAAGAA